AAGUCGUAACAAGGUUUCCGUAGGUGAACCUGCGGAAGGAUCAUUAACACGUAUCCAACGUUAAAACCCCCCCGUGAACCUUCAGUGUGCUCGUACGCUUUGUUAGAAAGUAGCAAUCCCUGGUAAAUCAUCGCCGAACAGUUUUGAUUCAGGGACUUCUGCGAAGAGUGUGCUUGUAGCGCGAGGCAAGUGGCCUGGCAUCCUUCACCGGGCUCACGCCCCUUAAUAACCUUUGCAUGAAAACGGGCCUGCGCUUAAUUGUGCGGCCCAUAAACCGAACAACUGUUACAAUGGAUAUCUUGGUUCUC
rnacentral:misc_RNA from 1 species